rnacentral:rRNA from 1 species
GGGUUGUGAGGUUAAGCGACUAAGCGUACACGGUGGAUGCCCUGGCAGUCAGAGGCGAUGAAGGGCGUGCUAAUCUGCGAUAAGCGCCGGUAAGGUGAUAUGAACCGUUAUAACCGGCGAUACCCGAAUGGGGAAACCCAGUGUGACUCGUCACACUAUCAUUAACUGAAUCCAUAGGUUAAUGAGGCGAACCGGGGGAACUGAAACAUCUAAGUACCCCGAGGAAAAGAAAUCAACCGAGAUUCCCCCAGUAGCGGCGAGCGAACGGGGAGGAGCCCAGAGCCUGAAUCAGCAUGUGUGUUAGUGGAAGCGUCUGGAAAGGCGCGCGAUACAGGGUGACAGCCCCGUACACAAAAGCGCAUGUGCUGUGAGCUCGAUGAGUAGGGCGGGACACGUGGUAUCCUGUCUGAAUAUGGGGGGACCAUCCUCCAAGGCUAAAUACUCCUGACUGACCGAUAGUGAACCAGUACCGUGAGGGAAAGGCGAAAAGAACCCCGGCGAGGGGAGUGAAAAAGAACCUGAAACCGUGUACGUACAAGCAGUGGGAGCCCCACCACUAAGCCAGUGGUGAACUCCACAUACGCAUCCUUUGCUGAGGAUACGGUUAACGGAGCGAAAGCGACGUUCAACCGCAAAAGAAGCAGAGGGGGCUUAGUGGUGGGGUGACUGCGUACCUUUUGUAUAAUGGGUCAGCGACUUAUAUUCUGUAGCAAGGUUAACCGAAUAGGGGAGCCGGAGGGAAACCGAGUCUUAACCGGGCGUUAAGUUGCAGGGUAUAGACCCGAAACCCGGUGAUCUAGCCAUGGGCAGGUUGAAGGUUGGGUAACACUAACUGGAGGACCGAACCGACUAAUGUUGAAAAAUUAGCGGAUGACCUGUGGCUGGGGGUGAAAGGCCAAUCAAACCGGGAGAUAGCUGGUUCUCCCCGAAAGCUAUUUAGGUAGCGCCUCGUGAAUUCAUCUCCGGGGGUAGAGCACUGUUUCGGCUAGGGGGCCAUCCCGGCUUACCAACCCGAUGCAAACUGCGAAUACCGGAGAAUGUUAUCACGGGAGACACACGGCGGGUGCUAACGUCCGUCGUGAAGAGGGAAACAACCCAGACCGCCAGCUAAGGUCCCAAAGUCAUGGUUAAGUGGGAAACGAUGUGGGAAGGCCCAGACAGCCAGGAUGUUGGCUUAGAAGCAGCCAUCAUUUAAAGAAAGCGUAAUAGCUCACUGGUCGAGUCGGCCUGCGCGGAAGAUGUAACGGGGCUAAACCAUGCACCGAAGCUGCGGCAGCGACACUAUGUGUUGUUGGGUAGGGGAGCGUUCUGUAAGCCUGUGAAGGUGGCCUGUGAGGGUUGCUGGAGGUAUCAGAAGUGCGAAUGCUGACAUAAGUAACGAUAAAGCGGGUGAAAAGCCCGCUCGCCGGAAGACCAAGGGUUCCUGUCCAACGUUAAUCGGGGCAGGGUGAGUCGACCCCUAAGGCGAGGCCGAAAGGCGUAGUCGAUGGGAAACGGGUUAAUAUUCCCGUACUUGGUGUUACUGCGAAGGGGGGACGGAGAAGGCUAUGUUGGCCGGGCGACGGUUGUCCCGGUUUAAGCGUGUAGGUGUGUGUUCCAGGUAAAUCCGGUUCACUUUAACACUGAGGCGUGAUGACGAGGCACUACGGUGCUGAAGCAACAAAUGCCCUGCUUCCAGGAAAAGCCUCUAAGCAUCAGGUAACAUCAAAUCGUACCCCAAACCGACACAGGUGGUCAGGUAGAGAAUACCAAGGCGCUUGAGAGAACUCGGGUGAAGGAACUAGGCAAAAUGGUGCCGUAACUUCGGGAGAAGGCACGCUGACAUGUAGGUGAAGUGAUUUACUCAUGGAGCUGAAGUCAGUCGAAGAUACCAGCUGGCUGCAACUGUUUAUUAAAAACACAGCACUGUGCAAACACGAAAGUGGACGUAUACGGUGUGACGCCUGCCCGGUGCCGGAAGGUUAAUUGAUGGGGUCAGCGCAAGCGAAGCUCCUGAUCGAAGCCCCGGUAAACGGCGGCCGUAACUAUAACGGUCCUAAGGUAGCGAAAUUCCUUGUCGGGUAAGUUCCGACCUGCACGAAUGGCGUAAUGAUGGCCAGGCUGUCUCCACCCGAGACUCAGUGAAAUUGAACUCGCUGUGAAGAUGCAGUGUACCCGCGGCAAGACGGAAAGACCCCGUGAACCUUUACUAUAGCUUGACACUGAACAUUGAGCCUUGAUGUGUAGGAUAGGUGGGAGGCUUUGAAGUGUGGACGCCAGUCUGCAUGGAGCCGACCUUGAAAUACCACCCUUUAAUGUUUGAUGUUCUAACGUGGACCCGUAAUCCGGGUUGCGGACAGUGUCUGGUGGGUAGUUUGACUGGGGCGGUCUCCUCCUAAAGAGUAACGGAGGAGCACGAAGGUUGGCUAAUCCUGGUCGGACAUCAGGAGGUUAGUGCAAUGGCAUAAGCCAGCUUGACUGCGAGCGUGACGGCGCGAGCAGGUGCGAAAGCAGGUCAUAGUGAUCCGGUGGUUCUGAAUGGAAGGGCCAUCGCUCAACGGAUAAAAGGUACUCCGGGGAUAACAGGCUGAUACCGCCCAAGAGUUCAUAUCGACGGCGGUGUUUGGCACCUCGAUGUCGGCUCAUCACAUCCUGGGGCUGAAGUAGGUCCCAAGGGUAUGGCUGUUCGCCAUUUAAAGUGGUACGCGAGCUGGGUUUAGAACGUCGUGAGACAGUUCGGUCCCUAUCUGCCGUGGGCGCUGGAGAACUGAGGGGGGCUGCUCCUAGUACGAGAGGACCGGAGUGGACGCAUCACUGGUGUUCGGGUUGUCAUGCCAAUGGCACUGCCCGGUAGCUAAAUGCGGAAGAGAUAAGUGCUGAAAGCAUCUAAGCACGAAACUUGCCCCGAGAUGAGUUCUCCCUGAGACUUUAAGUCUCCUGAAGGAACGUUGAAGACGACGACGUUGAUAGGCCGGGUGUGUAAGCGCAGCGAUGCGUUGAGCUAACCGGUACUAAUGAACCGUGAGGCUUAACCUUACAACGCCGAAG